GAUGAACGCUGGCGGCGUGCCUAAUACAUGCAAGUCGAGCGAAUGGAUUAAGAGCUUGCUCUUAUGAAGUUAGCGGCGGACGGGUGAGUAACACGUGGGUAACCUGCCCAUAAGACUGGGAUAACUCCGGGAAACCGGGGCUAAUACCGGAUAACAUUUUGAACCGCAUGGUUCGAAAUUGAGAGGCGGCUUCGGCUGUCACCCAUGGAUGGACCCGCGUCGCAUUAGCUAGUUGGUGAGGUAACGGCUCACCAAGGCAACGAUGCGUAGCCGACCUGAGAGGGUGAUCGGCCACACUGGGACUGAGACACGGCCCAGACUCCUACGGGAGGCAGCAGUAGGGAAUCUUCCGCAAUGGACGAAAGUCUGACGGAGCAACGCCGCGUGAGUGAUGAAGGCUUUCGGGUCGUAAAACUCUGUUGUUAGGGAAGAACAAGUGCUAGUUGAAUAAGCUGGCACCUUGACGGUACCUAACCAGAAAGCCACGGCUAACUUCGUGCCAGCCGCCGCCGUAA
rnacentral:rRNA from 1 species